GGUAACUCCCCAUAGUCUGGGUUUUAGUGAUGGAGCCAGAAUGUACACACAGAGCACCGACUUCCAUUCCAGUCUUUCUCUUCACCGUCUGUUCAGUGAACCCACGAGUGCUGUUUAGACUCCUCCGUGGCUACCAGAUCUAAAGACCUUCCAUCGAGUCUGUGGAGAGGCUUUCAAAUACAAAAUUCAACAGUGCCUUUGUUUUUAUGAAAAACAGGUCUACUCUCAAUCUGUAACUGUUUGAUGCCAACUGCAUACACAGCACUGUUGCCACCGAAGCUCAAUGGUAGAAUCUGAAAACAUUGUAGAAGGAUCAGUCAUGAUCAUGUGACACUUUAAAACCUAAUGUGACACACACACACACUCCACUCCCCAUGUGGAAUUUCCAUGCUGUGGCCUACAAUUUUAGGUUCAGUAGAGAAUUUAAGAAAAAAAAAAAAAAAAGAUCCCUUCCAACUCUUUGUACCUAAAAGUGAUUAAUUAUUGGGUUUUCUCUGCCUUUGGUAUUUCCUGGCAAACACCUUUGAAAUCUCAGAGCCACGUGUUUAUUCAAUUAACUUCUACACCCUGUGAUCUGGGAUAAGAAGUUACAGGCCACCUUUCAGCUCCCUAGGCCACACUGAAUCUACCCCUGCAAGAGCUGAGACAGGUGCUCUCCUCUCCUCCUGCUCUGCCCUUGUUUCUUUUCCCCCUCCUCUCCCUUCCCUCUUGUCUUAAUCACUGCUAAGAUGAGAAUCUUAGCUGGUCAAAGUGGUGUACAAUGUUCAUGCCAGCAUUUGAAAAGCAGAGGCAGGCUCUUACAGGAUUGAGGCCUACAGAGUGUCUUCAAGACAGCCAGGGCUGCCUAUUGCUGUGAAGAGACACCUUGACCGAGGCAUCUUUCAUACAAGAAAGCAUUUAAUUGGGGGCUUGCGUACAGUUUUACCAGCUAAUCCUUUGUCAUCAUGUUGGGAAGCAGACAGGCAUGGUGCUGAAGCUAAGAGCUUUACAUUCUUAUUCCUCAGGUAAGAGACCUCCAACAAGGACACACCUCCCAUGAACGGGGGACUAAGGAUGCAAAUAAAUAUGAGCCUAUUGGGGCCAUUCUGAUUCAAACCAGGACACCUCCUCUCUGCUGUCUUCUCUCUCUUCUCAUUUCCUUUUUUUUUUUUUUAAAUGUCGGUCUGUGUAGAGUGUCAGCACUUUGGAACAGCAAGCAAUGGUCGUGCUUUUGCAUGCAUUGGAGGUGAGAUUUCAGUGGCAGGGUUAGUAGGAAGGCUGGGGUCACUUCCUACUGUUUAUUAAAUCUGAGAAAUUGUGACUUACGUGAAAAGUCUAAUACUUGUAUAUGUCCCAUCUACAAUAUCAAUUUGACUGUCUCCUCGGCUUCGACAAUUGGGGUUUAGCACGAUACCCUUGGCUUCAGCUUCUGUGACAUUUGGAUGUCAUGUUCAGUGCUCUACUGUGAACCAUCUGUGCUUUCACUGGCUGCUUCUGAAACAGACAUACAUAUGCUCCCAGAGGCCGGCUGGUAUCUAUGAGGUGUUUGUAAGUGUCCAUAAGCGAAAGUCAACAAGCACAGCAAACCAUACAUAAUGAAAUCUCGAUUCAGAGUGGUAGCUCUGGGCAUGGUGGCGAGUAACUAUCAUCCUAGGGAGAUGGCUAUGAGUUAGAGGCUAGCCUGGAUGACCUGGUACUACUCAGGCCUUUCUCAAAAGCAGCUGGAGGAGAGGUUGGAGAGACGGCUCAGUGGUUAAGAGCUCUGACUGCUCUGCUUUCCAGAGGACCUGGGUUUAAUCCCUAGCACCUACUGAUGGCUUACGGCCAUCUGUAACUCCAGUUCUAGGGGGAAUCUGACACCCGCUUGGGGCUUCUUAGGAUAACAGGCAUGCGUGUAAUUCACAGACAUACAUGCAGACACAAUGCCCAUACAUGUGAUUUUUUAAAAGUUAAGCCAGGCGUGGUGGCACACGCCUUUAAUCCCAGCACUCGGGAGGGAGAGGCAGGUAGAUUUCUGAGUUCUAGGCCAGCCUGGUCUACAAAGUGAGUUCCAGGACAGCCAGAGCUACACAGAGAAACCCUGUCUCGAAAAACAAAACAAAUAAAAAGUUAAAAACACCCAAGCAGGACCCAUCCCUUUAAUCCCAGUACACCGUAGACAGGCAGGUGAUCUCUGUAAGUUCACGGCCAGUCCAGUCUACAGAGUGAGUGAGUUCCAGGUCAGCCGGGGCUACGUAGUGAGACCCUUUCUCAAAAACAAAACCAAGCACACAUGCACAUGGUUAUGUCUGAGAAAAUCCAAACAACAAACCAAAAACCACAAAGUUACUGAGUGAUCAUAAAACAAUGAUUCAGUCAGUUAAAGUCAUUAUAGCCUGGCCUGCAGACAGGACACCUGCCACAUCAAUGUAGAAUUAUAGGAAGUAAUACUUGGUGUUUACUCAUAAAGAAUGGAUGCCAUAUGUUUGAUGAACCAAGAUGGGUAUCGUUUCAUGAUGAGAUUCAGAAAUUCAUUCUCAGUGUGAAAGUGUCAUUGAACAGAGAGGCAGGCAACUCUCCUUACAUUCUUGCUUCCUACUAUAUUUUCAUACUUCCCAUUUCUGCCUUUCCCUUUCUGUUUAUGAUAUAGAUUUCUGGGUAGUACAGGAACCACGGCUUUCUUGGAACACAUGACAGGCCUUGGGAACCCUUGUGUAGGUAGAAGAGCGUUUUUGACUAGACCUUAGAUCCACUCAUCUAUGAUUAGGGCUGUUACAGACACUUGAAAAGGCUAACACCUGCACACACUCCUACACACAUGCCAUAUUCCUUUUACUGUAUCUGUGAGUUGAAGAAUCAUGCACAGUUAAGGUCACUGAUUUCACAACAGCCUUGAGGGCCUUUACCUCUGACAAGACUUCUUGGGCAAAAGAGAAAGUGCUUGGCUCUAGUUUUUGUUUUUCACAGGUCAAAACUGGAAAUAUUCUCUUGAGUCCGCAGCAUAAACUCUGUGUGUGUCACUCUGUGUGUGAACAUGUGGGAACCAGGCACAGUGCUGAUUUCACUGGGUUGACAUGUUUGCAUCGUCGUUGAAAAAAACCAUGUCUACUCUUCAGAGCUCCUAAGAAGUCCCUGAACAUGGGAUGUUUUCUGUUUUGUUUGCUCAAAAAGUUGGGUGUUUUUGUUGUUGUAAUUUUAUUUGCAAAGCAAUACAUUUUUAAAAGAACAAUCCAAAGAGAAGAAAUUAUUACAGUUAGUAAAAUGGAAGACAAGAACUAAGAUGACCUGACCAUCUCAUCUUUUUAAUUGUUUUAUCUCUUGCUUUUCACCUUAAAAAAAAAUUAAAAGCUUUAAAUAUGUGUUAUUUGAUAAUGCUUUUGAAUUGUGUGUUUUUCCUCAUAAGAUUUUAAGCCCAAAGGUGUAUCUUAUGUAUAAUUAGUAAAGAGUAUUUAAUACAUAGAAUAGUUAUUUUUUAAAAAAUUAUUAAAAAUUUUACCUUGAUU
rnacentral:lncRNA from 1 species